UCCCUGGAGGACUAGUGGUGAGGCCUCGGUGCUCUCAGUGCCACAGCCCGGGUUCGAUUCCUGACCAGGGAA
rnacentral:tRNA from 1 species